rnacentral:tRNA from 1 species
CCCGGCGGUGGUGUAAGUGUUACCUUCGGCCUUGAUCGCCGAAGGCGCAACGGGCGCUUCGCCAUCGGGUUGCAGUUCCGUGCUGGAG